UACGUAGGGGGCAAGCGUUGUCCGGAUUUAUUGGGCGUAAAGAGCGUGUAGGCGGCCUGAAAGGUCAGCUGUGAAAACUCGAGGCUCAACCUCGAGACGUCGGUUGAAACCAUCUGGCUAGAGUCCGGAAGAGGAGAGUGGAAUUCCCGGUGUAGCGGUGAAAUGCGCAGAUAUCGGGAAGAACACCCGUGGCGAAGGCGGCUCUCUGGGACGGUACUGACGCUGGGACGCGAAAGCGUGGGGAGCGAACAGG
rnacentral:rRNA from 1 species